CUGGGGUCAUCGUGGUGACCAGGCUUGUCCGGUUGGUUUAGUCCCAAAAUGUGAUUUCUGGGAUGCCUCUGGCUCAUCUCACCUGAUGCUGGUUGCCUUUAGGACUCUCAGCCCCGAGCGGUCUGUGCUGGCCUGGGCACUUCUGCACUUCCCAGGCUCGUGUUCCCGCCCCUGUGGGUGAUGGCACAGGGGGUCUGUGCCCAGCAGGGCAUUUCUGCCCUCCAGGGAGCCCCCAGCCCCAGCCCUGUGCCAGCGGCACCUUCCUGCCCCAGUCUGGGAUGGCUUUCCACAACUCCUGCCUGCCCUGUCCUGCUGGGAAGUUCUGCCAAGGAGAAGGUCUGGCUGCUGUUUCUGGACCGUGUUAUGCUGGAUAUUUCUGUGAUCCUGGCUCCACACAGCCAGACCUCAGGCAUUGCCCCGCUGGCUUCUACUGCCCUGAAGGCUCUGAAUUCCCAAUUCCCUGCAGUCCUGGAAGCUUCAGCCCUGUCAGUGGGAAAGGGCAGUCAGCAGACUGUCAGCUCUGCCCAGCUGGGCACUCCUGCAGUGGUGAGGAUGUGCUGGGGUUACGGAGCGAGGAAAGAAAAUCACCCGCCACAGCUCCAUUUCUGACAGCUUUGGGUACAGCAAGGACAAACUGAGUGCCCCACAUCAUUUCUUGGUGGUGAUGGUUUCUAGCACCAAGCAGAAAUGCCCCAAAAAAUUUUAAUUCCACAACUCCUGUUGGAGCAGUCUGGGAGCAGCCUCAGGUCACACAGAGCUCCUUGGCUGCUGUUAAACCCUCUCUGCACCUCCUGUGCAUGUCUGGCAUGGCUCUGGCCUGGCAGAGAAACAAAUAUUCUUGCCAGGGAGGCAGAGCUGCUCCUGCUCAGAGGUUCUCACCAUCUGCCUGCACAAAUGUUGAUCUGCUCCCUGGUGGUCACUCUGUAACCAAUAACCAAUCACCAAUUCACCCAUCACCUUCCUGGGGACAAAGAGGCUUUUCCUUUCUCACAUGAGCAGCUAGGAAGGAAUUACUUGACUGAGCUAACAGUGAGUUUUAGCAGAGCUGGAGCCACAAUUGAGAGUCUCAGAAUCCCAGCUGAGCUUUUUAGGGGGAAGCCUUUGUUUUCCCCAGGCAUUUAAUUCAGGACUGACUCAGCUGUGUGGUAAAAUGUUCUUUUUCUGAGGCUGAACUUCAAAGAAUUGGUGCUUCCUGAUGUGAGAUAGAGGUGUAUGAGGAAGGAGAACAUUAUUUUAGGUUUUCAUUGUCUCUGAUCUGGGCAGAAGCAGGUCUGAAGGACCAUGUGCUAUA
rnacentral:lncRNA from 1 species